UGUUUGUGCCUAGUGUUUACGUGUGUAUGUGUUGUGUGCCGGUGAGAAAUUUUCGUUUCUAGGCUCUUAUUAUUGAAGCCCUUCUCGCAGCGCCUCUCCCGCCACGCCCUCGCCCAGUGGAGCGCCUCCUUCGCCGCGCCGCCUCACGCCCCGCCCCGCCACUCCCUAAUAAGGCCUGGACCAGCUUUCUACCUUCCUUGGUGA